CGGGAUGUAGCGCAGUAUGGUAGCGCACAAGUCUGGGGGACUUGGGGUCGCUGGUUCAAAUCCAGUCAUCCCGACCA
rnacentral:tRNA from 1 species